rnacentral:rRNA from 1 species
AUGAAGAAAUCAGAUUAUAAUUUUUGCAAUAACAUAGUCCAAAUACCACUUACAUAUGGAGAAGAAAGGCAUAGGAAAACAGAUGAAGUAGAAAAUGAGGCUCCAGAAUAUGAAUCAAGUGAAGAUGAAAUAGACCUAAUAGAUGAUUUAGCCGAUGAAAUUACAAUAAGAGAUUUGUCAGUAAUAAAUGAUGACAUGAUAAUAGGGUUAAGAUUUUUACAGCAAUCUUUACAAACCACAAUCAUACAUGAAGAGGGGGUAACAUUUAUUCCUUAUCAAGAUAAUGUUCCAUACAUAUCUGAAGUGCGAAAACAAAGAAAGUCCUUGCAAAAUGUAGAAAUAUCUAAUUUAGAUGAUGAAUAUAGAACAAGUCCAGAUCCCCUUGAAUUCUGUAAAGACGAAGAACUUAGUGAGACCAUAGAAGAAUAUCAUAUAGAAAAUACAUGUACUGAAUGCAUUGGGUUGCAAUCAUUCUCUCCAAAUUGGUAUAGAGAUAUAAAAUCCAAAAAGGAUAUAGAUAAGAUUGUGCAAAGUCUAGAAAGUAUACAAAUUAUUGGAGAAAUACCAAUGAAACAUUGGGAUAAGAACUCUAUAGUUUGCAAAAUAAAUAUCAUAAAUCCAGAUUAUAUAAUUAAGUCAGGACCAAUAGAAGCGACUCCUAAAGAUAUCGAAGAGUUCAAAAUGCAUAUUGAAGAGUUAUUAAAGUUAUAA